rnacentral:rRNA from 1 species
GACGAACGCUGGCGGCGUGCUUAACACAUGCAAGUCGAACGGUGAAGCGCCUUCCUUUUUGGUGGGUGUGGAUGAGUGGCGAACGGGUGAGUAACACGUGAGUAACCUGCCCCCUUCUUCUGGAUAACCGCAUGAAAGUGUGGCUAAUACGGGAUAUUCUGGGUCUGUCGCAUGAUGGGUCUGGGAAAGAUAUUGUUUCGGUGGGGGAUGGGCUCGCGGCCUAUCAGCUUGUUGGCGGGGUGAUGGCCUACCAAGGCGGUGACGGGUAGCCGGCCUGAGAGGGUGGACGGUCACACUGGGACUGAGACACGGCCCAGACUCCUACGGGAGGCAGCAGUGGGGAAUAGUGCACAAUGGGCGCAAGCCUGAUGCAGCGACGCCGCGUGAGGGAUGGAGGCCUUCGGGUUGUGAACCUCUUUCGCCAGUGAAGCAGGCCUGCCUCGUUUGUGGGUGGGUUGACGGUAGCUGGAUAAGAAGCGCCGGCUAACUACGUG